AGCGGCAGACGGGUGAGUAACGCGUGGGAACGUACCUUUUGCUACGGAAUAACUCAGGGAAACUUGUGCUAAUACCGUAUGUGCCCUUCGGGGAAAGAUUUAUCGGCAAAGGAUCGGCCCGCGUUGGAUUAGCUAGUUGGUGAGGUAAAGGCUCACCAAGGCGACGAUCCAUAGCUGGUCUGAGAGGAUGAUCAGCCACACUGGGACUGAGACACGGCCCAGACUCCUACGGGAGGCAGCAGCC
rnacentral:rRNA from 1 species